rnacentral:rRNA from 1 species
GGGUUGUGAGGUUAAGCGACUAAGCGUACACGGUGGAUGCCCUGGCAGUCAGAGGCGAUGAAGGACGUGCUAAUCUGCGAUAAGCGUCGGUAAGGUGAUAUGAACCGUUAUAACCGGCGAUUUCCGAAUGGGGAAACCCAGUGUGUUUCGACACACUAUCAUUAACUGAAUCCAUAGGUUAAUGAGGCGAACCGGGGGAACUGAAACAUCUAAGUACCCCGAGGAAAAGAAAUCAACCGAGAUUCCCCCAGUAGCGGCGAGCGAACGGGGAGGAGCCCAGAGUCUGAAUCAGUGUGUGUGUUAGUGGAAGCGUCUGGAAAGGCGCGCGAUACAGGGUGACAGCCCCGUACACAAAAAUGCACAUACUGUGAGCUCGAUGAGUAGGGCGGGACACGUGGUAUCCUGUCUGAAUAUGGGGGGACCAUCCUCCAAGGCUAAAUACUCCUGACUGACCGAUAGUGAACCAGUACCGUGAGGGAAAGGCGAAAAGAACCCCGGCGAGGGGAGUGAAAAAGAACCUGAAACCGUGUACGUACAAGCAGUGGGAGCACGCUUAGGCGUGUGACUGCGUACCUUUUGUAUAAUGGGUCAGCGACUUAUAUUCUGUAGCAAGGUUAACCGAAUAGGGGAGCCGAAGGGAAACCGAGUCUUAACUGGGCGUUAAGUUGCAGGGUAUAGACCCGAAACCCGGUGAUCUAGCCAUGGGCAGGUUGAAGGUUGGGUAACACUAACUGGAGGACCGAACCGACUAAUGUUGAAAAAUUAGCGGAUGACUUGUGGCUGGGGGUGAAAGGCCAAUCAAACCGGGAGAUAGCUGGUUCUCCCCGAAAGCUAUUUAGGUAGCGCCUCGUGAAUUCAUCUCCGGGGGUAGAGCACUGUUUCGGCAAGGGGGUCAUCCCGACUUACCAACCCGAUGCAAACUGCGAAUACCGGAGAAUGUUAUCACGGGAGACACACGGCGGGUGCUAACGUCCGUCGUGAAGAGGGAAACAACCCAGACCGCCAGCUAAGGUCCCAAAGUCAUGGUUAAGUGGGAAACGAUGUGGGAAGGCCCAGACAGCCAGGAUGUUGGCUUAGAAGCAGCCAUCAUUUAAAGAAAGCGUAAUAGCUCACUGGUCGAGUCGGCCUGCGCGGAAGAUGUAACGGGGCUAAACCAUGCACCGAAGCUGCGGCAGCGACGCUUAUGCGUUGUUGGGUAGGGGAGCGUUCUGUAAGCCUGUGAAGGUGUGCUGUGAGGCAUGCUGGAGGUAUCAGAAGUGCGAAUGCUGACAUAAGUAACGAUAAAGCGGGUGAAAAGCCCGCUCGCCGGAAGACCAAGGGUUCCUGUCCAACGUUAAUCGGGGCAGGGUGAGUCGACCCCUAAGGCGAGGCCGAAAGGCGUAGUCGAUGGGAAACAGGUUAAUAUUCCUGUACUUGGUGUUACUGCGAAGGGGGGACGGAGAAGGCUAUGUUGGCCGGGCGACGGUUGUCCCGGUUUAAGCGUGUAGGCUGGUUUUCCAGGCAAAUCCGGAAAAUCAAGGCUGAGGCGUGAUGACGAGGCACUACGGUGCUGAAGCAACAAAUGCCCUGCUUCCAGGAAAAGCCUCUAAGCAUCAGGUAACAUCAAAUCGUACCCCAAACCGACACAGGUGGUCAGGUAGAGAAUACCAAGGCGCUUGAGAGAACUCGGGUGAAGGAACUAGGCAAAAUGGUGCCGUAACUUCGGGAGAAGGCACGCUGAUAUGUAGGUGAAGUCCCUUGCGGAUGGAGCUGAAAUCAGUCGAAGAUACCAGCUGGCUGCAACUGUUUAUUAAAAACACAGCACUGUGCAAACACGAAAGUGGACGUAUACGGUGUGACGCCUGCCCGGUGCCGGAAGGUUAAUUGAUGGGGUCAGCGCAAGCGAAGCUCUUGAUCGAAGCCCCGGUAAACGGCGGCCGUAACUAUAACGGUCCUAAGGUAGCGAAAUUCCUUGUCGGGUAAGUUCCGACCUGCACGAAUGGCGUAAUGAUGGCCAGGCUGUCUCCACCCGAGACUCAGUGAAAUUGAACUCGCUGUGAAGAUGCAGUGUACCCGCGGCAAGACGGAAAGACCCCGUGAACCUUUACUAUAGCUUGACACUGAACAUUGAGCCUUGAUGUGUAGGAUAGGUGGGAGGCUUUGAAGUGUGGACGCCAGUCUGCAUGGAGCCGACCUUGAAAUACCACCCUUUAAUGUUUGAUGUUCUAACGUUGACCCGUAAUCCGGGUUGCGGACAGUGUCUGGUGGGUAGUUUGACUGGGGCGGUCUCCUCCUAAAGAGUAACGGAGGAGCACGAAGGUUGGCUAAUCCUGGUCGGACAUCAGGAGGUUAGUGCAAUGGCAUAAGCCAGCUUGACUGCGAGCGUGACGGCGCGAGCAGGUGCGAAAGCAGGUCAUAGUGAUCCGGUGGUUCUGAAUGGAAGGGCCAUCGCUCAACGGAUAAAAGGUACUCCGGGGAUAACAGGCUGAUACCGCCCAAGAGUUCAUAUCGACGGCGGUGUUUGGCACCUCGAUGUCGGCUCAUCACAUCCUGGGGCUGAAGUAGGUCCCAAGGGUAUGGCUGUUCGCCAUUUAAAGUGGUACGCGAGCUGGGUUUAGAACGUCGUGAGACAGUUCGGUCCCUAUCUGCCGUGGGCGCUGGAGAACUGAGGGGGGCUGCUCCUAGUACGAGAGGACCGGAGUGGACGCAUCACUGGUGUUCGGGUUGUCAUGCCAAUGGCACUGCCCGGUAGCUAAAUGCGGAAGAGAUAAGUGCUGAAAGCAUCUAAGCACGAAACUUGCCCCGAGAUGAGUUCUCCCUGACCCUUUAAGGGUCCUGAAGGAACGUUGAAGACGACGACGUUGAUAGGCCGGGUGUGUAAGCGCAGCGAUGCGUUGAGCUAACCGGUACUAAUGAACCGUGAGGCUUAACCUUACAACGCCGAAGGUGUUU